rnacentral:rRNA from 1 species
GUGCCAGCCGCCGCGGUAAUACGUAGGUGGCAAGCGUUGUCCGGAUUUAUUGGGCGUAAAGCGAGCGCAGGCGGUUUCUUAAGUCUGAUGUGAAAGCCUUCGGCUCAACCCGAAGAAGUGCAUCGGAAACUGGGAAACUUGAGUGCAGAAGAGGACAGUGGAACUCCAUGUGUAGCGGUGAAAUGCGUAGAUAUAUGGAAGAACACCAGUGGCGAAGGCGGCUGUCUGGUCUGUAACUGACGCUGAGGCUCGAAAGCAUGGGUAGCAAACAGGAUUAGAUACCCUGGUAGUCCAUGCCGUAAACGAUGAGUGCUAGGUGUUGGAGGGUUUCCGCCCUUCAGUGCCGCAGCUAACGCAUUAAGCACUCCGCCUGGGGAGUACGACCGCAAGGUUGAAACUCAAAGGAAUUGACGGGGGCCCGCACAAGCGGUGGAGCAUGUGGUUUAAUUCGAAGCAACGCGAAGAACCUUACCAGGUCUUGACAUCCUUUGACCACUCUAGAGAUAGAGCUUUCCCUUCGGGGACAAAGUGACAGGUGGUGCAUGGUUGUCGUCAGCUCGUGUCGUGAGAUGUUGGGUUAAGUCCCGCAACGAGCGCAACCCUUAUUACUAGUUGCCAGCAUUUAGUUGGGCACUCUAGUGAGACUGCCGGUGACAAACCGGAGGAAGGUGGGGACGACGUCAAAUCAUCAUGCCCCUUAUGACCUGGGCUACACACGUGCUACAAUGGAUGGUACAACGAGUUGCGAGACCGCGAGGUUUAGCUAAUCUCUUAAAACCAUUCUCAGUUCGGAUUGUAGGCUGCAACUCGCCUACAUGAAGCCGGAAUCGCUAGUAAUCGCGGAUCAGCAUGCCGCGGUGAAUACGUUCCCGGGCCUUGUACACACCGCCCGU